AGCGAACGCUGGCGGCAGGCCUAACACAUGCAAGUCGAACGGACCCUUCGGGGUUAGUGGCGGACGGGUGAGUAACACGUGGGAACGUGCCUUUAGGUUCGGAAUAGCUCCUGGAAACGGGUGGUAAUGCCGAAUGUGCCCUUCGGGGGAAAGAUUUAUCGCCUUUAGAGCGGCCCGCGUCUGAUUGGCUAGUUGGUGAGGUAACGGCUCACCAAGGCGACGAUCAGUAGCUGGUCUGAGAGGAUGACCAGCCACACUGGGACUGAGACACGGCCCAGACUCCUACGGGAGGCAGCAGUGGGGAAUCUUGCGCAAUGGGCGAAAGCCUGACGCAGCCAUGCCGCGUGAAUGAUGAAGGUCUUAGGAUUGUAAAAUUCUUUCACCGGGGACGAUAAUGACGGUACCCGGAGAAGAAGCCCCGGCUAACUUCGUG
rnacentral:rRNA from 1 species